UAGGGAAUCUUCCGCAAUGGACGCAAGUCUGACGGAGCAACGCCGCGUGAGUGAAGAAGGAUUUCGGUUCGUAAAACUCUGUUGUUAGAGAAGAACAGCGCAUAGAGUAACUGUUAUGCGUGUGACGGUAUCUAACCAGAAAGCCACGGCUAACUACGUGCCAGCAGCCGCGGUAAUACGUAAGGUCCGAGCGUUGUCCGGAAUCAUUGGGCGUAAAGGGUACGUAGGCGGGUAAGCAAGUUAGAAGUGAAAUCCUGUAGCUCAACUACAGUAAGCAUGUAAAACUUCUCAUCUUGAGAUAUGGAAGGGGAAGAGGAAUUCCUAGUGUAGCGGUGAAAUGCGCAGAUAUUAGGAGGAAUACCGGUGGCGAAGGCGACUUUCUGGCCAUAAUCUGACGCUGAGGUACGAAGGCGUGGGUAGCAAACAGG
rnacentral:rRNA from 1 species